rnacentral:rRNA from 1 species
UACGGGGGGGGCAAGCGUUGUUCGGAAUUACUGGGCGUAAAGAGCUCGUAGGCGGCUUGUCGCGUCGACUGUGAAAUCCCGCGGCUCAACUGCGGGUCUGCAGUCGAUACGGGCAGGCUAGAGUUCGGUAGGGGAGACUGGAAUUCCUGGUGUAGCGGUGAAAUGUGCAGAUAUCAGGAGGAACACCGGUGGCGAAAGCGACUUCCUGGACCAGUACCGACGUUCAGGCACGAAAGCGUGGGGAGCAAACAGG